AUUAAAACACCGUUUCCCGUAUGAUCACCGAAGUUAAGCAACUUAAGUCGAAACCUGGUCAGUAACUAGAUGGGUGACCACUUGGGAAUACAAGGUGCAGUA